rnacentral:rRNA from 1 species
ACUAUCAUUAACUGAAUCCAUAGGUUAAUGAGGCGAACCGGGGGAACUGAAACAUCUAAGUACCCCGAGGAAAAGAAAUCAACCGAGAUUCCCCCAGUAGCGGCGAGCGAACGGGGAGGAGCCCAGAGCCUGAAUCAGUGUGUGUGUUAGUGGAAGCGUCUGGAAAGGCGCGCGAUACAGGGUGACAGCCCCGUACACAAAAAUGCACAUGCUGUGAGCUCGAUGAGUAGGGCGGGACACGUGGUAUCCUGUCUGAAUAUGGGGGGACCAUCCUCCAAGGCUAAAUACUCCUGACUGACCGAUAGUGAACCAGUACCGUGAGGGAAAGGCGAAAAGAACCCCGGCGAGGGGAGUGAAAAAGAACCUGAAACCGUGUACGUACAAGCAGUGGGAGCCUCUUAAUGGGGUGACUGCGUACCUUUUGUAUAAUGGGUCAGCGACUUAUAUUCUGUAGCAAGGUUAACCGAAUAGGGGAGCCGAAGGGAAACCGAGUCUUAACUGGGCGUUAAGUUGCAGGGUAUAGACCCGAAACCCGGUGAUCUAGCCAUGGGCAGGUUGAAGGUUGGGUAACACUAACUGGAGGACCGAACCGACUAAUGUUGAAAAAUUAGCGGAUGACUUGUGGCUGGGGGUGAAAGGCCAAUCAAACCGGGAGAUAGCUGGUUCUCCCCGAAAGCUAUUUAGGUAGCGCCUCGUGAAUUCAUCUCCGGGGGUAGAGCACUGUUUCGGCAAGGGGGUCAUCCCGACUUACCAACCCGAUGCAAACUGCGAAUACCGGAGAAUGUUAUCACGGGAGACACACGGCGGGUGCUAACGUCCGUCGUGAAGAGGGAAACAACCCAGACCGCCAGCUAAGGUCCCAAAGUCAUGGUUAAGUGGGAAACGAUGUGGGAAGGCCCAGACAGCCAGGAUGUUGGCUUAGAAGCAGCCAUCAUUUAAAGAAAGCGUAAUAGCUCACUGGUCGAGUCGGCCUGCGCGGAAGAUGUAACGGGGCUAAACCAUGCACCGAAGCUGCGGCAGCGACACUAUGUGUUGUUGGGUAGGGGAGCGUUCUGUAAGCCUGUGAAGGUGGCCUGUGAGGGUUGCUGGAGGUAUCAGAAGUGCGAAUGCUGACAUAAGUAACGAUAAAGCGGGUGAAAAGCCCGCUCGCCGGAAGACCAAGGGUUCCUGUCCAACGUUAAUCGGGGCAGGGUGAGUCGACCCCUAAGGCGAGGCCGAAAGGCGUAGUCGAUGGGAAACAGGUUAAUAUUCCUGUACUUGGUGUUACUGCGAAGGGGGGACGGAGAAGGCUAUGUUGGCCGGGCGACGGUUGUCCCGGUUUAAGCGUGUAGGCUGGUUUUCCAGGCAAAUCCGGAAAACCAAGGCUGAGGCGUGAUGACGAGGCACUACGGUGCUGAAGUGACAAAUGCCCUGCUUCCAGGAAAAGCCUCUAAGCAUCAGGUAACAUCAAAUCGUACCCCAAACCGACACAGGUGGUCAGGUAGAGAAUACCAAGGCGCUUGAGAGAACUCGGGUGAAGGAACUAGGCAAAAUGGUGCCGUAACUUCGGGAGAAGGCACGCUGAUAUGUAGGUGAAGCGACUUGCUCGUGGAGCUGAAAUCAGUCGAAGAUACCAGCUGGCUGCAACUGUUUAUUAAAAACACAGCACUGUGCAAACACGAAAGUGGACGUAUACGGUGUGACGCCUGCCCGGUGCCGGAAGGUUAAUUGAUGGGGUUAGCGGUAACGCGAAGCUCUUGAUCGAAGCCCCGGUAAACGGCGGCCGUAACUAUAACGGUCCUAAGGUAGCGAAAUUCCUUGUCGGGUAAGUUCCGACCUGCACGAAUGGCGUAAUGAUGGCCAGGCUGUCUCCACCCGAGACUCAGUGAAAUUGAACUCGCUGUGAAGAUGCAGUGUACCCGCGGCAAGACGGAAAGACCCCGUGAACCUUUACUAUAGCUUGACACUGAACAUUGAGCCUUGAUGUGUAGGAUAGGUGGGAGGCUUUGAAGUGUGGACGCCAGUCUGCAUGGAGCCGACCUUGAAAUACCACCCUUUAAUGUUUGAUGUUCUAACGUUGGCCCCUAAUCGGGGUUGCGGACAGUGUCUGGUGGGUAGUUUGACUGGGGCGGUCUCCUCCUAAAGAGUAACGGAGGAGCACGAAGGUUGGCUAAUCCUGGUCGGACAUCAGGAGGUUAGUGCAAUGGCAUAAGCCAGCUUGACUGCGAGCGUGACGGCGCGAGCAGGUGCGAAAGCAGGUCAUAGUGAUCCGGUGGUUCUGAAUGGAAGGGCCAUCGCUCAACGGAUAAAAGGUACUCCGGGGAUAACAGGCUGAUACCGCCCAAGAGUUCAUAUCGACGGCGGUGUUUGGCACCUCGAUGUCGGCUCAUCACAUCCUGGGGCUGAAGUAGGUCCCAAGGGUAUGGCUGUUCGCCAUUUAAAGUGGUACGCGAGCUGGGUUUAGAACGUCGUGAGACAGUUCGGUCCCUAUCUGCCGUGGGCGCUGGAGAACUGAGGGGGGCUGCUCCUAGUACGAGAGGACCGGAGUGGACGCAUCACUGGUGUUCGGGUUGUCAUGCCAAUGGCACUGCCCGGUAGCUAAAUGCGGAAGAGAUAAGUGCUGAAAGCAUCUAAGCACGAAACUUGCCCCGAGAUGAGUUCU